UACGUAGGGGGCGAGCGUUGUCCGGAGUUACUGGGCGUAAAGGGCAUGCAGGCGGUCGGACGCGUUUUGGGGGACAGCGGGUGGCUCAACUACGCGAGCAUACGAAAGACGGUUUGACUUGAGGGCUCGAGAGGGACACGGAAUUCCGGGUGGAGUGGUGAAAUGCGUAGAGAUCCGGAGGAACACCGAAGGCGAAGGCAGUGUCCUGGCGAGUGACUGACGCUGAGGUGCGAAAGCCAGGGGAGCGAACGGG
rnacentral:rRNA from 1 species